rnacentral:rRNA from 1 species
CCUACGGGAGGCAGCAGUGGGGAAUAUUGCACAAUGGGGGAAACCCUGAUGCAGCGACGCCGCGUGAGUGAAGAAGUAUUUCUGUAUUUAAAGCUCUAUCAGCAGGGAAGAAAAUGACGGUACCUGACUAAGAAGCCCCGGCUAACUACGGGCCAGCAGCCGCGGUAAUACGUAGGGGGCAAGCGUUAUCCGGAUUUACUGGGUGUAAAGGGAGCGUAUACGGCAUCACAAGUCUGGAGUGAAAUGCCGGGGCUUAACCCCGGAACUGCUUUGGAAACUGUGCAGCUAGAGUGCAGGAGAGGUAAGUGGAAUUCGUGGUGUAGCGGUGAAAUGCGUAGAUAUUAGGAGGAACACCAGUGGCGAAGGCGGCUUACUGGACUGUAACUGACGUUGAGGCUCGAAAGCGUGGGGAGCAAACAGGAUUAGAUACCCGAGUAGUC